CUUGAAGCAAAUCCUUUCAACUCCUUGUUCAGCCUACAACCAUUAGGAAGAGCAAUAUACAAUUCAAUUUCAGAUUUUUCCCAGCGAAUCCCUCAGCUCAACCCAGUUCAAACACAUUACAAGGUUGAGCAGUGGUUGAUGAAGAUGAAGUGACGAGCAGAGCUUU